GUCAGGGCAGCCAGAGGACAACUCUCAUCAUGAUUACUGAGGUGUUCUGCAUCUGCUGUUGAUGACCUGAUGCUGUGAGAAAGUCCCACCUGUGACUGCUGCUUGUCCUCCUCCACUUGAUGAAGUCUGGGCUCUACCAGCUGUGGGAAAUGGGAAAGAAAAGAGAAGUCUGCCCGGUGGAGCAGCCCCCCUUCCCUGCAGUCUCUAACCAAGUGUGCUUAGGAAUAUAGACUUCACCUUGUCCAUUGCA